rnacentral:rRNA from 1 species
UGGGGAAUCUUGGACAAUGGGGGCAACCCUGAUCCAGCCAUGCCGCGUGAGUGAUGAAGGCCUUAGGGUCGUAAAGCUCUUUCGCCUGUGAAGAUAAUGACGGUAGCAGGUAAAGAAACCCCGGCUAACUCCGUGCCAGCAGCCGCGGUAAUACGGAGGGGGUUAGCGUUGUUCGGAAUUACUGGGCGUAAAGCGCACGUAGGCGGACCAGAAAGUUGGGGGUGAAAUCCCGGGGGCUCAACCCCGGAACUGCCUCCAAAACUAUUGGUCUAGAGUUCGAGAGAGGUGAGUGGAAUUCCAAGUGUAGAGGUGAAAUUCGUAGAUAUUUGGAGGAACACCAGUGGCGAAGGCGGCUCACUGGCUCGAUACUGACGCUGAGGUGCGAAAGUGUGGGGAGCAAACAGGAUUAGAUACCCUGGUAGUCCACACCGUAAAACGAUGAAUGCCAGUCGUCGGGUAGCAUGCUAUUCGGUGACACACCUAACGGAUU